GGGGUGCGCAAUAGACUUACCUCCACGUGGUGCACCCUGGACAACGUAUGCACAUACGGCAAAAAAGUCCAU
rnacentral:ribozyme from 1 species